AUUGAACGCUGGCGGCAGGCUUAACACAUGCAAGUCGAGCGGAGUGAGGGUGCUUGCACCUUAGCUUAGCGGCGGACGGGUGAGUAAUGCUUAGGAAUCUGCCUAUUAGUGGGGGACAACAUUCCGAAAGGAAUGCUAAUACCGCAUACGCCCUACGGGGGAAAGCAGGGGAUCUUCGGACCUUGCGCUAAUAGAUGAGCCUAAGUCGGAUUAGCUAGUUGGUGGGGUAAAGGCCUACCAAGGCGACGAUCUGUAGCGGGUCUGAGAGGAUGAUCCGCCACACUUGGACUGAGACACGGCCCAGACUCCUACGGGAGGUAGCAGUGGGGAAUAUUGGACAAUGGGCGGAAGCCUGAUCCAGCCAUGCCGCGUGUGUGAAGAAGGCCUUUUGGUUGUAAAGCACUUUAAGCGAGGAGGAGGCUACUUUAGUUAAUACCUAGAGAUAGUGGACGUUACUCGCAGAAUAAGCACCGGCUAACUCUGUGCCAGCCGCCGCCGUAAAAC
rnacentral:rRNA from 1 species